rnacentral:rRNA from 1 species
UAACACGUAUCCAACCUGCCGAUGACUCGGGGAUAGCCUUUCGAAAGAAAGAUUAAUACCCGAUGGCAUAAUUCUUCCGCAUGGUAGAACUAUUAAAGAAUUUCGGUCAUCGAUGGGGAUGCGUUCCAUUAGGUUGUUGGCGGGGUAACGGCCCACCAAGCCUUCGAUGGAUAGGGGUUCUGAGAGGAAGGUCCCCCACAUUGGAACUGAGACACGGUCCAAACUCCUACGGGAGGCAGCAGUGAGGAAUAUUGGUCAAUGGACGAGAGUCUGAACCAGCCAAGUAGCGUGAAGGAUGACUGCCCUAUGGGUUGUAAACUUCUUUUAUACGGGAAUAANGUGAGGCACGUGUGCCUUUUUGUAUGUACCGUAUGAAUAAGGAUCGGCUAACUCCGUGCCAGCAGCCGCGGUAAUACGGAGGAUCCGAGCGUUAUCCGGAUUUAUUGGGUUUAAAGGGAGCGUAGGCGGACGCUUAAGUCAGUUGUGAAAGUUUGCGGCUCAACCGUAAAAUUGCGGUUGAUACUGGGUGUCUUGAGUACAGUAGAGGCAGGCGGAAUUCGUGGUGUAGCGGUGAAAUGCUUAGAUAUCACGAAGAACCCCGAUUGCGAAGGCAGCCUGCUGGACUGUAACUGACGCUGAUGCUCGAAAGUGUGGGUAUCAAACAGGAUUAGAUACCCUGGUAGUCCACACAGUAAACGAUGAAUACUCGCUGU